rnacentral:tRNA from 1 species
GGGCGAGUGGCGGAAUUGGUAGACGCACUAGCUUCAGGUGCUAGCGGUCGCAAGACCAUGAGGGUUCAAGUCCCUCCUCGCCCACCA